rnacentral:lncRNA from 1 species
CACUAAUUCCACUUAAUUAAUACUAGGAAUGUAUGAGCUGAGAAUGGUUAAUGAAAUUCUAAAUAUUUUCCCUUUAUCCCCAGUCCAUCUCCUCUCUUCUCCCCCCAUCUCCCUUACCCAUAGUCUUUGGAUUUAAGUUGUGUGUAUAUCCUGAAGGAAAACUAAAGGUUAAGUUUCUGUUUAGGAUGGAAGUGUUAGCCCCUGAAAAGAAAACACAUGAAGAGAAUGAAGAUUUGCAGCAAUAUCCUCAGAAGCCUGCAAGCUGUAAGAAAAUGCUUAGGAAUUGCUGCUUGAUAAAGCGAAUUUUUGCCUGGAAAAGUUUGAGCUCUAAAGGAUUUAAACAGCAUGGAUUCAAUGCACGAGUGCAUCCUCAAACGGAUGAUCAAGAGAAUUAAAAAAAAAACACCUUCUUGUAUUUCAAAGAAAAGUAAAUGGAAUAGCAUGGUUAUGGUCAAUGGGAAAUGUUUUCAUACUAAACCCAGUAUUUUAAUCAAUACUCAAGGCUUGGUAAUUUGACUAAUUCCAUUAGACAGCAGUUUCAGAGAGCAGGUAUCUUGAGUGGAGGCCAGAGGAACAGACGGUGACAGUGCCAGCAAUUAAUUAGUGGGAGCUUGAUGCUGCAAUAAACUCUGAGCCCAAGUUUAAAGAAUGUGUUGA